UUACUAAAAUCUUCAAUAUAACACCUCGAGCUAAUCAUAUCGUUGUUAAGUUAUUCAUUUCAAUCCCAACCGAGUCUGAAGCUGCUCUCCGAAAUGGAAUUUCGUGUUAUAUUUGCAAUUUUAAUUUCUUUCUCUUUCUUAAAUUCUGCUAUUGGCGUACCAACUACGACGACGUUGACGGAUCAAUCUUUGCACAAUAGAAUUCCCAGAGGAGUUGCACCAACUUUACAAAUUUUCAAAAGUGAUAAUCAGUGCAAUGGGGCAUCAAGUGAUCUCGUCAACUGUCGAAGAUUUUGUGUAGUAAGAAGAUUUCGAUACGGUGGAUGCAAUUUUGAAAGAAAUGCUUGCAUAUGUUCAGAUAAAAUGGAAAAUUUCGAAACAUAUAAUGGAGGAAAUCAAAUUUUUUUUAAAAAUUAGGAACUCUUGUAAACCAAUAAUAUAAUAUAUUUUUUUUUAAAUAAAUCUUCUUGACUUAGACAAUAAAAUAAUAAUAAUAAUGUA